ACGACAGUACUCGCUUGAUGCAUGCUUCGAAUUGGAACAGUGCUCGGGCAACGACUGAUGACGUUUCACGAGUCCACGACGAGCACACACAACUGACGCAAAAGUACGCAAAUUGAGAAACGGCCAUUGGGAAACGCCCAUGCACACACCGCAGCGGCACACUUGCCAAGAUUCAAGUGAAUGCCCUUGCCCAUUCGACGCACUUCAUUUGGAACAUUGCUGAAGGCCAGACAAGGGUAUGGCCCGUCCCUCCAUCUCAGACGGCUUUAUCCCAACGUGAGCCAGGUUGUGGACGUGGAUCAUCAGGCUUGGCUAUGACAAACAUUCCAAGGGUUAUUGGCACAAAACUGAAGAAGAUGGAGUGUUUUCGUCUGGGGAACAGAAAACACUCAGGAAGAGUUGGCCAGAGGAGCAUGCUCUAGAUGAAUCGUGCGAUUCAGCCCACAAACGUGUAUUAUAUUUUGGCUGUAUCAUUUUUGCUGCAUAGCGUUUAAGUUGGUAAGAUUCACACCAGUCUUUUUCCAAUAGAACGAUGUGUGAUUAAAUAACAAAGGAGUCAAGAAACAUUUAUUCACUCCGGCCUUAUGAACGGCAAAUCAAGAAGUGUUCUCAAUGUUUGGUGCUGCUGGCGAUGCUUUGACGCUUCAAUAGUUCCUUGAAGGCAAUGGAUGCAAGUUAACUUUUUUUGUUGGUUUCAUAUCGUUUUUGAUAAAGAACUGUUAUUGUUCAGUUUCUUUCUUUAAAUUAUGGGGUAAUAAAACACCUAGCG
ensembl:lncRNA